rnacentral:lncRNA from 10 species
UUGCUAUCCUGGCAAACCAUUUGCUAGCUAGGAGGCUGCCUUAGACCCAAAGGCUAUUCCUUUCCAGAGUUGGAUGUUAAGGGUUAUCCAUUGAGAAACUGACUUUGUAUGGAAUCCAGGCAGUAUGAUUAGAAUUUCUUUCUUUUUGAAACAGAGUCUCACUCUUGCCCAGGCUAGAGUGCAGUGGCAUGAUCUCAGCUCACUGCAACCUCCGCCUCCGGGGUUCAAGCGAUUCUCCUGCCUCUGCCUCCCAUGUAGCUGGGAUUACAGAUCCUGCACCUGGCACCACCCAGAUUGAUAAACUGGAUUAUCUGAUCUUGUGGCCCCUACCCAGAAACUGACUCAGCACCAGAGGACAGCUUCGACUCCCUUUGAUUUCAUCUCUAACCCAACCAAUCAGCACUUUUGACUCACUGGCACCCCACCCACCAAGUCCUCCAUAAUAACUCUGAUCCCUGAAUGCUUGGGGAGACUGAUUUGGGUAAUAAUAAAACUCUGGUUUCCCAUGC